UACGAAGGGGGCUAGCGUUGCUCGGAAUCACUGGGCGUAAAGGGUGCGUAGGCGGGCUGCCAAGUUUGGGGUGAAAUCCUCCGGCUCAACCGGGGAAGUGCCUCGAAUACUGGCGGUCUGGAGGGAGGUAGGGGCGUGCGGAACUAACGGUGGAGCGGUGAAAUGCGUUGAUAUCGUUAGGAACUCCGGUGGCGAAGGCGGCACGCUAGACCUCUUCUGACGCUGAGGCACGAAAGCCAGGGGAGCGAACGGG
rnacentral:rRNA from 1 species